UACGUAGGGCGCGAGCGUUGUCCGGAUUUAUUGGGCGUAAAGAGCUCGUAGGCGGUUUGUCGCGUCGUUCGUGAAAACUCACAGCUUAACUGUGAGCCUGCGGUCGAUACGGGCAGGCUAGAGUUCGGUAGGGGAGACUGGAAUUCCUGGUGUAGCGGUGAAAUGCGCAGAUAUCAGGAGGAACACCGGUGGCGAAGGCGGGUCUCUGGGCCGAUACUGACGCUGAGGAGCGAAAGCGUGGGGAGCGAACAGG
rnacentral:rRNA from 1 species